rnacentral:misc_RNA from 1 species
GACCAUGACAAAACAAGAUGGCUGCCACCAUGGAGGAAAACCCACAUGAUGCAAGAAAUCGCCAAUUUUAUUCCCUCCCCGAGGAACCUGUUGCAUCUGAAUUUGCCGAAGAUAGCACAGAAUCAAAGGAAUCCCUUUUAAGUUAUAUUCGAAAUAAUGUUAUUGGAAAAGACAAGAUUUUUAGCGGACCAUUUGGAUUACGAAAAGGUUGCCAGCCACUGAACAAUUACUUAUACAGACUACAUUGCAUCUGGAAGAGCUCUAAAAUUCAUUGAAGAUUACAUCCAAAAUGAGGUAUUGCCAGAUUAUGGAAACACACACACCACUACCAGCUUAACUUCUCUUCAGACAACACUGUACAGGGUUGAAGCAAGGGAUAUUAUACGGAACUCUGUUCAUGCUAGUGAACAUGACUCUGUGAUAUUCUGUGGAAGUGGCACUACAGCAGCUGUUCAUAAAGUCAUUCAUGCACUAAAUCUGGAGAGGCCACCAGUAGUAUUUGUUGGGCCUUAUGAACACCACUCAAGCUUUCUCCCAUGGAUAAGCAUAAAUGCAGUAAUUGUAAGAAUUCAAGAAGACAAGGGAGGCAGCAUAAAUAUUGCAGACCUUGAGAGUAAAUUACAGCACUGGCAGUCAUCUGGUCAUCCUUUAAUUGGGUGUUUUUGCGCUGCCUCCAACGUCACUGGCAGUAUAGUGGAUGUCAACUCCAUCACCGUUUGUCUUCACAAACACGGAGCGCUCUCUUUCUGGGAUUAUGCUACAGCGGCUCCUUAUGUCAAAAUUGACAUGAAUCCAGUGUUGACAAGCGAGGAUCAGCCAUAUGUUUACAAGGAUGCUAUUUUUAUGUCAGCACACAAGUUUGUUGGAGGAGUCCAAACUCCAGGUAUCCUGGUGGCAAAGAAAAAGCUUUUCAAGAAUAAAAUACCAGACAACUGUGGAGGAGGGACUGUAUUUUAUGUACGAAGAAAGAACUACAGGUUUCUUCAAGAGCCUGAGUUUCGUGAGGAGGGAGGGACACCUGCCAUUGUAGAGUCUGUCAGGGCAGGGCUAGUGUUCCAGCUAAAAAAUGCAGUAUCUCCUCAAACAAUCAUGGAGAAAGAGGAGCAGCUUCGCAGUAUGGCUGUAGAGGCUUUCAAAGACUGUGAAAACCUGGUACUACUGGGUAAUGCUGGAAACAAGAACAGCCUCCCUGUGUUCUCCUUCCUGAUUUACAAUCCUCAGGCGGGGAGGUUCCUCCACCACAACUUCGUGGCCAGUCUGCUGAACGACCUGUAUGGGAUCCAGGCCAGAGGGGGUUGUGCCUGUGCCGGCCCCUACGCCAUGGAUUUAUUGGGGUUAGAUGAAGCAACUUCAGCUGAAAUAGAAAACCUGCUAGCAGAGGAUGAUAGGCUGGAUAGAACACACUUACGGCGAUAUCGAGAGUAUUCACACAGAGAAAUCAUCAGACCAGGCUUUGUUAGAAUUAAUCUCCCCUACUUCAUGGAUGAAGAGACAGCUCAGUUUGUUUUAGAGGCUGUUAAAGCAGUAGCAAAAGAAGGAUGGAAACUACUACCACAGUACAUGUGUAAUCCUGAGACUGGGGAGUGGAGACAGAAAGAUUUCCAAGUUUUCAAAGACAGGAAGUGGCUGGGUCACAUUUCUUACAAAUCAGGAGAGAUGUCUUACAAAGUGCCUCCCCCAGUUGUCAAGGGACCUUUACCCACGGACUACAAUGAUUGCCUAGAGAAGUCCAGAGAACUUUUCAAACAAGCUGCAAAGACCUGCGGGUAUCAGCUACCAGAUCAUACCAACAUGUUUGAUGAUAAAGCCAAGAAGUACCGCUGGUUCCUGUUACCCAGUGAAGCGGCGGACAUUUUGUCUGGACACAAUGUACCGAACUUCUCCUCCCAGCUUCCAUUCUGUCCGCCUGCCCUCCGAGAGACAGCAAAUUUACCUCCCUUUGCAUUGGAGGUGACAAAGAAUAAUGGAGUUGUUUAUGCUCCUGUAACAUUGAAUCUAUCUGAGACAAAAAGACAUACCAAUUUCUCAGAGAAACUGGUUCAGAACUUAGAAAAAGUACAGUGCAACCCUAACUGUUCAGAAAUUAAAACUGAUGGCUGUGAUAGUGCCUGCAAUGUGAAUUCAAGUGAAGGAAAAAUUUGUAGCUCUGAUGCUAAACAGAGAGGAGAAAGUAAAAUUUUUGAUGACAAUUCUAAAGCAACUUCAAAUUCAACAUGUCCUCUUGUGUGUGCUACAAGGAAAAGAGAUCUACAGGACAAAACUGUUGAAAGCCCUUCUCCAAAAGCUGCUUGCUCAAACUCAAAACAGUUGAAAAGUGAAACGACAACUAAACAACAAUUGUUGGACAAUAAUGUCGGAGGAGAAAGAUCUAUCAAUGGUGAACAGAAUUCAAAGCCUGAACCAGCAAAGAAAUCCCCAGCAAGUAAAUGGUUCUCUCCUCCAAAGGCAAUCUUUACAAAAUUCCUCAAGGGUGUAGAGGACUACAGCAUGCUGAGGGAGGGAGACCGGGUGUUGGUGUGUCUGUCCGGGGGGAAGGACUCUUUGUCUCUGCUACACACCAUCAGACAGUACCAGUUCUACUGUAAAGCCAAGGGACUGAAGUUUGAGUUUGGAGCUGUAACGGUGGACCCCCAGACCCCGUCCUAUGACCCCAGUCCUCUGAAGCAGUACCUGGCCAGUCUCAGUGUUCCUUACUUCUACGAGUCACAGUGUAUCAUGGAUCAGGCCCAGAGUCUUGAGAAUUGUGCGUCCAUCUGCAGUUUUUGUAGUCGAAUGAAGCGGGGCAGAAUUUACGCAUGUGCCAGGAAAAAUGGAUACAAUGUUCUUGCUCUGGGGCAGCACCUAGACGACUUGUGUGAAAGUUUCCUAAUGUCAUUUUUCCACAAUGGAAUCCUCAGGACCAUGAAGGCUCACUAUGAUGUAGAAGAGGGAGAUUUAAGAGUGAUAAGACCUUUUGUAUAUGUCAGAGAAAAAGAUUUGAGACUUUUUGCUGAAAAGAAUAAACUGCCAGUAAUUGCAGAAAAUUGUCCUGCAUGCUUUGAAGCACCAAAGGAGAGGCACAGAACAAAACAGUUACUUGCUGCUCAAGAGAUUCUUUUUCCCAAUUUGUACAAUAGCAUGAUGGCAGCCAUGAAACCCAUCAUGGCCAUUAAUAAAACAGGCGUUCGAAUCAGCGACAUUUUGAACACCAAGGAUGAAGAGACAGAUGAUAUGGACAUUUAAAUUUUCCUGUAUAUUUAUUGCAUAGACAUAAAAAUCAUAUACAGUAUUGUAUAAAUAAAUUGUUGAUUU